rnacentral:rRNA from 1 species
GACGAACGCUGGCGGCGUGCCUAAUACAUGCAAGUAGAACGCUGAAGGAGGAGCUUGCUCUUCUGGAUGAGUUGCGAACGGGUGAGUAACGCGUAGGUAACCUGCCUGGUAGCGGGGGAUAACUAUUGGAAACGAUAGCUAAUACCGCAUAACAGUAGAUGUUGCAUGACAUUUGCUUAAAAGGUGCAAUUGCAUCACUACCAGAUGGACCUGCGUUGUAUUAGCUAGUUGGUGGGGUAACGGCUCACCAAGGCGACGAUACAUAGCCGACCUGAGAGGGUGAUCGGCCACACUGGGACUGAGACACGGCCCAGACUCCUACGGGAGGCAGCAGUAGGGAAUCUUCGGCAAUAGACGGAAGUCUGACCGAGCAACGCCGCGUGAGUGAAGAAGGUUUUCGGAUCGUAAAGCUCUGUUGUAAGAGAAGAACGAGUGUGAGAGUGGAAAGUUCACACUGUGACGGUAGCUUACCAGAAAGGGACGGCUAACUACGUG